GAGCACCAAAGAGCACAUUAAGGAGGUUCACCCACAGAUUCUGUAAAUCAAGAAGUAAUGGAGACUCAGUCAAGCUGCACCUAAGCAGGAAUUUACUUUAAAACAGAGUGGUGUUGAAAAAGGAAGGGCUGGAUGGGAGUAAAGAAUUGGGACCAAUAAGCAAGAAAAUGUGAAGAGCUCACCAUGUUCAAUGUAAGUGAUGAAUCCCAGAGAUAACAGCACGGCAGCCAGAUGGAAGCUCAGUCCCUGGGAGGAAGAGAAUCAGAAUCAAAACAGAAACUUCUAACAUUCCUCAAUCCUUAGCAGAUGCCUGAUGCUUGUUCUAUGAUGUUUAGUGACAUCACUUUACAGGUUGUUUCUAGGUCUCGGGACCUGGUACAAUCCUAACUUGGCAAGUAACUUAAACACCUGAUGGUUGCUGAGCCUUCUCAAAUUCUCUUUGUACUUCUGCACUCCUCCAAGUCUUCUGAUACCUCUCUACCAUGCAUUGACUUUGCUUCCUUGACUACAGAAGAUCAAUACUCAAAGACUGUAUUGUAUACCUGUGAGCUGAUUGGGAGCUCUAUAUGAUGGAAAAAGAGAAUACAAAUGUUUCAAAUUAGCCCCAAAUUUAUAGAAAUGUAGUGCUAUUGGGCUGUAACCAAGAAACAGAUCUGAGAGACUGGCUUGUGGGGAGAGAUAAACAUACAUGCAACACGGCAGCUGUUGCAUAGGUUGAACAAAUUGAGCAUCCCUUAUCUAGAAUUCCAAAAUCCAAAAUACUUCAAAAUCCAAAAAUGUUGAUAUGGAUGGCUGAGAUAGUACAGUAGAGCCUCACUUAUCCAAGCCUCGCUUAUCUAAGCUUCUGGAUUAUCCAAGCCAUUUUUGUAGUCAAUGUUUUCAAUAUAUCGUGAUAUUUUGGUGCUAAAUUCGUAAAUACAGUAAUUGCAAUAUAACAUUACUGCGUAUUGAACUACUUCUUCUGUCAAAUUUGUUGUAUAACAUUAUGUUUUGGUGCUUAAUUUGUAAAAUCAUAACUUAAUUUGAUGUUUAAUAGGCAUGGUAAUGUUUUAUUAUUGUAUAUUGGUUUUUAUGAUGUUUAAAUGUUUUUAGUUUUUAAUGCCUUUUGUAUUGUAUUGUUGAUGUGACAGCACUGUGUUGCCAAUUUGUAAGCCGCCCUGAGUCCCCCAGGGGAGAAGGGUGGGGUAGAAAUACUGGAAAUAAAUAAAUAAAUAAAUUUUUCCUUAA